rnacentral:rRNA from 1 species
UACAGAGGAUGCAAACGUUGCUCGGAAUUAUUGGGCGUAAAGCGCGCGUAGGUGGUCUGAUAAGUCGGGUGUGAAAGCCCUCGGCUUAACCGAGGAAGUGCAUUCGAAACUGUCAGACUUGAGUACUGAAGAGGAUCGCGGAAUUCCCGGUGUAGAGGUGAAAUUCGUAGAUAUCGGGAGGAACACCAGUGGCGAAGGCGGCGAUCUGGGCAGAUACUGACACUGAGGCGCGAAAGCGUGGGGAGCAAACAGG